rfam:Triticum aestivum genome assembly, contig: Triticum_aestivum_CS42_TGACv1_scaffold_177758_2DS
AAGAUUGACGAUGAUGACAUCAUCUCCCACAUCCUCGUUGGCCUGGACGAGGAAUUUGAUCCUGUGGUCUCUGCCAUGUGCUCCAGAGUGGAGCCGAUCACCAUCCCUGAGCUGUUCUCUCAGCUCAUCAGCUUCGAGA